ACUCGCGUAUGCAGCGCGGAUUGUAUCGGAACUCACGGAGUGAGUGGCUUCGCCCAUUUAACGAGCUCCGCGUUUAGCAUCGAUGCUAGCUACGCAGCCAGCCCGACGUGAGCUGUCAGAGCAGGCGUGGGAAGCUUUGAGUCGCUUCCCCGGUGCUUUGGCGCCAAGGCAUGUCAGCAGCUCGUAGUCCUUCAGUUCGAACCUGCACGCGAGAAGACUUUUAUUCACGAUUUUAAACUUGCUACUUAAUCUCGCUACUAGUAGCUGCCCGGCUAGUUGAGAGUUGCCCGCAAAGGAGAGCACGCGCUGCAUCGCAUCAGUGUGAAUGCAGUGUGAACGUCUGUAUAGGGAGAAAAAGGCCGAAUGUCUGUAAAAUCCCAAAUACGCUGGCACUUGUGCUGAUAUUGUCAGAGGCUGAUGCAAGGAUGAGUAGAGAUGCGCAUGACUGCAAGUGAAAUGGAGUUUAUCCCAUCUGAACUCGGGGCAAGAGGCAGGCUCCAUCCGGGACCGUAACCCAGUCAAUCACAGGGCACGUAAUAGAUAAACGUAUACAAAUAAAAAUUCACAAUCAUACGUAAUUCUAAUCAGUGACCCCGCUUGUAAUUGUUGGACACCCAACAGCCUCUCUCUUCCAAAUGUGUCCUCGAUGCGUUCAAACAAUCUGCGCUCUGAUUUCACUUCCACAUUGAAGUGAGACUCAGAGUUGUGAAUAGCAGCGCGCGUGUAAACAACAUGUUGACCACUUCCCGCUGGUCCAUCUCUGUCUGGCUCCUCAUCACUGCUGUCACACUGAUGCAAGCUGUUAAAUAUAAACGACAGUUGUCACUUUGCUUCAUGCACAAAUAGUUGCACAACAGACAGAGAGAGAGUCUUGUAUUUGCUGUUGAACAU